AGGAUUCCCCUAGUAACUGCGAGUGAAGCGGGAAAAGCUCAAAUUUAAAAUCUGGUAGCUUUCGCUGCCCGAGUUGUAAUCUAGAGAAGCAUUGUCAGUGCUGGCGCGUGUAUAAGUGUCCUGGAAUGGACCAUCAUAGAGGGUGAAAAUCCCGUCCUUGACACGCUGCUUUAGUGCGUUCAGAUGUGCUCUCAAAGAGUCGGGUUGUUUGGGAAUGCAACUCUAAAUGGGUGGUAAGUUCCAUCUAAAGCUAAAUAUUGGCGAGAGACCGAUAGCGAACAAGUACCGUGAGGGAAAGAUGAAAAGAACUUUGGAAAGAGGGUUAAACAGUACGUGAAAUUGCUGAAAGGGAAACGCUUGAAGUCAGUCGCGUCGGCUGGGAAUCAACCAUUGCAAUCCUUUGCUUGGUUUACUUCUCCAGCUUGACGGGUCAGCAUCAGUUUCGAUCAGUGGACAAAGGUCAAGGGAAUGUGGCACCUCCGGGUGUGUUAUAGCCCUYGGUCAUAUACAUUGGUUGGGUUGACAGUGAGAGGUAUCUGGGUAUCUAAUCCUAUUUCCUAUUCUCACCUUCGUUUCUCAGCGUCAAUCAUUUCUAGAUAAAUAGUUUUCACUUUUAGUAUUCCACUUAGUAUCUACGGAUAUCAUCCCUACUCUAAGUAUUAUUUGGCUUAUCCUCGUUUUGAUUCUAGCUUUUAUUCAUCCUAUCUUUACCUUAGAAUGAAGAUAUUUAAAGUAUAUCGCCUUUAAACAGAUCUUCGUUAUAAGAGCUAUUUGAAAGAUAUGAUUUUGAAAGCAGCCUACACACCCUUUACGCCUGAUUAGGA
rnacentral:rRNA from 1 species